UAUACGGGAUCACUAUCUCUGCCUGCGGCGUCGAGAAGUAGUAACAGGUCUCCAUUAGUUGUCAUUGAGACGCGGACGACCUUCAUAGUGAAGCAUAAAAUGCAAUUGAAGAUCUAAGCGAUGAAGUCUUAACCUCUCGGUGAGGCACUUGAGCAGGUUGUUUUUUGGCAAAAACCUUUUUUCCAGCUUACAAAGAGAUAAAUAAAGAAAAGAAAGGACAAGUCAACUAAGAAACAUCCUGCUCCAGAAGUUACAAAGUAUAAAGCCAUAGAACAGAAAUAAUCUGAAGUCUCAAGCGCAUUAUUUGCCACUGGCUUGGCCCUCAUAACAUUUGCUGAAUGAAUUGGUCAUCUUUUGUGAGACGCAGGGAGUUACAACUUAAAAGGAUGUUUAUAACGUCGGGUCUUUACAAUAAAAUGGGAAGAUCUGAAGAGACCUAGAAGAUAUAACCUAGUAGAAGAUACAACUUCAAGGGCCCAACCAAUAACACAGAGACAUACCCAGAGCCCAAGGUCAGAAGCUGUACCACAGGAGACCCUAACAACACCACCUCUUCUGCCAAGCCACACCAUCAGCGGACGUGUCGCACUCAGCAAUAUUACUAUUACAAUAGCUGUUAAAUGAUCAGCAACCAGCAAUUUCAGCGACGUGUUAUCCUGGUUGCCGCGGGGCUCUCCGGGCAGCGCUGGCGCUGAAGGGGGCGGCGGCGGUGACGUCAUGCUGCAGUCCCUCGCGCCCAACACCGUCAAGCAGUAUCACACGUACUUGACACGCUGGUAUAAUAUACCAGCAUAUUACAUAUUAAAUAUUAUGUAAUGUUUUGUGGAAAAUAAUAUUAAUUGUUUUAAGACAUCUAUUCCACAAAUACUAGGUUUUGACAAAUUGUGUAACGAGGUAGCUGGCUAGCUGGGUAUGAAAGUGUCAAUUGUUGCACAUCUGCUUUGGUGCUUUUAUUGAGAGAAAAGAUCUCAUCAGAUGAUAACGUGAAACGCUUUAUGAAGGUGCGUUUUUUCGUAUAUAUCCACCAUAACCUAAAUAUCGAGACGUAAUUAGUUUUAAACAAUUUGUCAACGUUGUCAACAAGUGUGUGAAAUAUCCGAGUAAAAAAUUAGUCACCCUAUUAGCAAUUGUUACAGCACACGGAGUGCAAAAAUUUGUACUUGAUAAAGUUAUGUAAUACUAUUUACCAUUAUCCUGAA